GCCGUUGUAGAUAUAUAUUUUGUGACUGAAGGUCAAAGAAUGUCCAACUCUAUUUUAUUAUUUAUACGCAAUGUAGUACAAUUUGAAUAUUGAAAGUUGAGGAAACUAAUGACAAACAGGCCGAGGAUUGGCUGAUCUUUUAAGCUCUGAAGUUGCUUCGCGUCUUGUUAAGAUCCUCGAAGAAAUUGACCUUUUUGACAUUCAGGUUUGCUGAGUGUUAAUGCUGUGUACAUUAAAAAUUUGUUACAAUCUUUUCUAUAUCAAGGACACAACAGUUUUGCACUUGUGUCAGUCUAUGGCUGCUGGAAUUCUCUCGCGUUUAAGUUUUGACAAGUGCGGCAAAGUUAUAAAAGAGGCAAUUCCAGUCCUUUUGAAAUAUAUAUGCAGUGACGCGCCUCAAGUAGCAACUCCGGUAAUCUGUAGGAGUUUCCGAGUCAGUUUUCUUAUCACUGUGAAUGCAAUGUAACUAGAUUUGUUAUCUAAAUAUGUAGGCUGCGUCAACAUUGGCACGUUUAGCUUAUAAAUCCUCCAAAGCGAUAGAAGUUU
rnacentral:lncRNA from 1 species